rnacentral:rRNA from 1 species
AGAACGAACGCUGGCGGCAGGCCUAACACAUGCAAGUCGAACGCUCGUAGCAAUACGAGAAUGGCAGACGGGUGAGUAACGCGUGGGAACCUUCCCAGUGGUACGGAAUAGCUCAGGGAAACUUGAGGUAAUACCGUAUACGCCCUUCGGGGGAAAGAUUUAUCGCCAUUGGAUGGGCCCGCGUAGGAUUAGCUAGUUGGUGAGGUAACGGCUCACCAAGGCGACGAUCCUUAGCUGGUCUGAGAGGAUGAUCAGCCACACUGGGACUGAGACACGGCCCAGACUCCUACGGGAGGCAGCAGUGGGGAAUAUUGGACAAUGGGCGCAAGCCUGAUCCAGCCAUGCCGCGUGAGUGACGAAGGCCUUAGGGUUGUAAAGCUCUUUGGCGGGGAAGAUAAUGACGGUACCGCAGAAUAAGCUCCGGCUAACUACGUGCCAGCAGCCGC